AUAUCCUUGUUUGGAGCCUGGUUCGCCUUUGACUAUUCCCUCGCCUCUAGAAAAAAAAAAUAUCCGUUCUCCUACCCGUGAGCUCGUGGCCUUCCCAAAGCGCUCGUCACUUUCCCCAAUUUGGCCGGACGGCAGCCUCCAAAUCUCCGAUUCGUCGUCGCCUUUGCCUCCGGCCAACACCACCACUUCUCGGCGGCUCGCCCUCUCCGUGUCCAGUUAAUCACUGCUCGUCCCCAACUCGUAGAAGCCACAGCUCGCCUCCCCUCUGCCAUGGACGACAUGGCACACGCGCGACGCCGGCGGUCGAUUUCCCUCGAUGCCUAGGUUGCCGCCUCUAUCUCCACUUCGUCCGUUCUUGCAUAGGCUUUGUACGGCUUUGGUAGUCAGCCCGCCGGAGCCCAAAAUAAGGACAGGGACAUCGGUCUCGCCUGCGUCGUCGUCAAGCGCAAGCUCCUGGUGGAUGCUCUGCUCCGUCCUUGGCGCCUUCGUCCUCAUCGAUGUCUCUACCAUCAUCAGCCUACUCCAUGGCCUGCCAUCAGACAAGUACAUCCACGCUCUCAAGAAGGUGCUCCAAUUCUUCAACCGCAGAAAUGUGAGUACUACUUCACUUCACAGAGCCAAAAAGCGAUGAUGAGUGAUGCGUCCGCUAGGCGAUCAAUUGCGUUUAUAGCAUCAUCAGCUGAUCGCUUAUGCCCCUUUGAAGGUUCUUGUGAUCCACUUGCAUUGCACUUCUUCUUUUUCUCUGCCUUAUUGCUAUUAGGCUUCUUAGGACAAUCAAUAGUGGAAUCAUUUAUUUCAUCAGAUUCUACUUGUACUACCUCAUUCAGAUCAAUAUGUGCUUCACCUUUCCCUUUGCUAGAUACAGCACCUAGUCCGGAUGCAGUAGAGCUCGCACAUAUGUCUUGCAGGUCUAUCCAACUAGGCCACACUUUAUCACGGAUGACGAAUCUGCAAAUUGAAUGCUGCUGAUGAAAACAAGUUCACGAAGAGAUCCCUUGUCUUCCCAGCAGCGGCCAACUGCCAGUAAUCGGUGUUCCCAGCCUAGCGCCGGCGGCCAGGGAAUCGAUGAUCACAACAGGUGUUAGCGGCUAGCCAUUGAACUAGGUUUCCAGAUCUGUUUUGCCGAGGUUUGUUCUACCACCGUCCAGUUUAUAUAGAAGCGAUGGAAACAAUGGCGCGUGGAAGUGGCUGCGGGAGGGAAGAAAUGGCGCCAAUAAGUUUGUUGAGGGAGGAGCGGAGAGAAAAAAGUUUAUUACCGAGAGUUUUCUGUAAUCUUGUUUUCUCAAAAACGAGUAUUAGUCGUUUUUGAUAAAACGCAGUUUUCUGGCUUUGUGGAAACCGAAUUUUAGAUAUCCAUGCUUUUGUUGAAGGCCCCAAACAUGGUUUUAGUUUGUUGGGCGGUUAUAUGAGCUCACGGAAAACUAGUUUGGCUAA